rnacentral:misc_RNA from 1 species
UCGCCUCUAGGCCUUGACUCAGUCCCUUAUACCUUUCGGGUCUUUUUUAGCUGAAAACAAAAUUUAUAGUGUUUCAGUAUCUUAUUUCACCAUAUAUCCAACAAUUAAUUCAUAAAUACUUAAUUCUAGCCCAAAUAUGCUUAAACUAACAUUCUUGGAAAUUUUCAUUUUGGAGUUACUAUUUAUGAUACUAUUCAAGUCAAUUUGU